GGAGAAUUGGCCGAGUGGUCGAAGGCGCACGCUUGGAAAGCGUGUAGACAGCAAUGUCUCGAGGGUUCGAAUCCCUUGUUCUCCGCCA
rnacentral:tRNA from 2 species